rnacentral:rRNA from 1 species
GAUGAACGCUGGCGGCGUGCCUAAUACAUGCAAGUCGAGCGAACAGACGAGGAACUUGCUCCUAUGGCAUUAGCGGCGGACGGGUGAGUAACACGUGGAUAACCUACCUAUAAGACUGGGACAACUUCGGGAAACCAGAGCUAAUACCGGAUAAUAUAUUGAAACGCAAGGUUCAAUAGUGAAAGACGGAUUUGCUGCCACUAAUAGAUAGAUCCCCACCGAAUUAGUAAGUUGGUAAGGAAACGCCUUACCAAGGGAAGAAAGCUUACCCGCCCUGAAGGGGUGACCGGCCACACUGGAACGGAGACAGGGCCCAGACUCCUACGGGAGGCGGCGGUGGGGAAUCUUCCGCAAUGGGCGAAAGCCUGACGGAGCAACGCGGCGGGGUGGAUGAAGGUCUUCGAUUCGUAAAACUCUUUUAUUGGGGAAGAACAAAUGUGUAAGUAACUACGCACGAAUUGACGGUACCUAAUCAGAAAGCCACGGCUAACUACGUG